AGCUGGAGGAACCUGGACUGCUCGCAGAGCUGAGGGCAGAGCUGGCCUCUCUGCGGAACCUGCUGGACUUGUUGCAAACGAGGCAUGAGCGAGACAUGGAGGAGGUCCGAUCGGAGAUGAUCAACGAGCGGGAGAAGAGACUGGCGCUGGAGGCCCAGGUCCAGAGGGUGAAGGAGACCAUGCUGUGACCACGACCCUGGAGCCAGACCCUGGCCGGGAGAGGAGCAACAACCCCCUCCUCUCCUCCGCCGCCCCCCUGUGCCCCCACCAUCAUCCCCAGUCUAGGAGAGGGGGCUCUGUCUCCUGGGACCACUUGGGGAGCAGAAGCGCAGUCUCCCAGAGGGAAAAGCAGUGUUGGGGGGAGGGGGAGAGUUCCUGGGGUCAAAGGGCAUGGACCCGGAGCCUAGGGCCCAGAAACCUCCACACUGCUCCCCAGAGCCUGCAGUUCAGGGGUCAACAAAUCCUGAAGGGUGGGAGAUUGCAGCUGAGGCCACCACCCUCACCUCUUCCUCCUUCCCUCCUCUUUCUCCCUUCUCUUCCUCGUCCUUCUUUUUUCCUUUCUCUUUCUCCUCCUCUUCCUCCUUCACCCCUCCUCCCCCCACCUUUCCGAGCUUCUGGCUCUGG